UACAGAGGGGGCAAGCGUUGUUCGGAAUUACUGGGCGUAAAGGGCGCGUAGGCGGCCUUCUAAGUCGAACGUGAAAUCCCCGGGCUCAACCCGGGAACUGCGUCCGAUACUGGAAGGCUUGAAUCCGGGAGAGGGAUGCGGAAUUCCAGGUGUAGCGGUGAAAUGCGUAGAUAUCUGGAGGAACACCGGUGGCGAAGGCGGCUCGCUGGACCUUUUCUGACGCUGAGGCGCGAAAGCUAGGGGAGCAAACGGG
rnacentral:rRNA from 1 species